UACGAAGGGUGCAAACGUUGCUCGGAAUUAUUGGGCGUAAAGGGUGCGUAGGCGGUUUGGUAAGUCUUGUGUGAAAUCUACAGGCUCAACUUGUAGUCUGCACGAGAAACUGCCGGGCUUGAGUGUGGGAGAGGUGAGUGGAAUUCCUGGUGUAGCGGUGAAAUGCGUAGAUAUCAGGAGGAACACCUGUGGCGAAAGCGGCUCACUGGACCAUAACUGACGCUGAUGCACGAAAGCUAGGGGAGCAAACAGG
rnacentral:rRNA from 1 species